UCCAGAGGGUGCGAGCGUUAAUCGGAAUGACUGGGCGUAAAGUGCGCGUAGGUGGAUAUGUGUGUUGGAUGUGAAAGCCCCGGGCUUAACCUGGGAAUUGCAUACAAAACUGCAUGUCUAGAGUGGAGCAGAGGUGAGUGGAAUUUCCGGAGUAGCGGUGAAAUGCGUAGAUACCGGAAGGAACACCAGUGGCGAAGGCGACUCACUGGGCUCAAACUGACACUGAGGCGCGAAAGCGUGGGGAGCAAACAGG
rnacentral:rRNA from 1 species